CUUUUGACCUCGGAUCAGGUAGGGAUACCCGCUGAACUUAAGCAUAUCAAUAAGCGGAGGAAAAGAAACCAACAGGGAUUGCCCUAGUAACGGCGAGUGAAGCGGCAACAGCUCAAAUUUGGAAUCUGGCUCUUUCAGAGUCCGAGUUGUAAUUUGCAGAGGGCGCUUUGGCGUUGGCAGCGGUCCAAGUUCUUUGGAACAGGACGUCACAGAGGGUGAGAAUCCCGUACGUGGUCGCUAGCCUUCGCCGUGUAAAGCCCCUUCGACGAGUCGAGUUGUUUGGGAAUGCAGCUCUAAAUGGGAGGUAAAUUUCUUCUAAAGCUAAAUACUGGCCAGGGACCGAUAGCGCACAAGUAGAGUGAUCGAAAGAUGAAAAGCACUUUGGAAAGAGAGUCAAAAAGCACGUGAAAUUGUUGAAAGGGAAGCGCUUGCAGCCAGACGUGCCCGUGGUUGCUCAUCUGGGGAUCUCCCCAGUGCACUCUUCUAUGGGCAGGCCAGCAUCAGUCCGGGCGGUUGGAGAAAGACCUGUGUCAUGUAGCUGUUCUCGGGCAGUGUUAUAGGGCAGGUGGAAUGCGACCAGCCUGGACUGAGGUCCGCGCAUCUGCUAGGAUGCUGGCGUAAUGGCUGUAAGCGGCCCGUCUUGAAACACGGACCAAGGAGUCUAACAUCUAUGCGAGUGUUUGGGUGUCAAGCCCGAGCGCGUAAUGAAAGUGAACGGAGGUGGGAACCCUUGGGUGCACCAUCGACCGAUCCUGAUGUCUUCGGAUGGAUUUGAGUAAGAGCAUAGCUGUUGGGACCCGAAAGAUGGUGAACUAUGCCUGAAUAGGGUGAAGCCAGAGGAAACUCUGGUGGA
rnacentral:rRNA from 1 species